rnacentral:lncRNA from 10 species
AGCAAUUCUCCUGCCUCAGCCUCCCAAGUAGCUGGGAUUAUAGACACUUGCCACCACACCUGGCUAAUUUUUGUAUUUUUGGCAGAGAUGGUUUUCGCCAUGUUGGCCAGUCUUGUCUCGAACUCCUGACUUCAAGCGUCCACCCACCUCCCAAAGUUGUGAAGCAUAUCUUUGAACACAAUGCAAAAUGACAAGGUGAAGAGGCAGAGAUCUCAUUAUGUGAAGCUGUGGACCGAAGGUCACAGGACUUAUUACUGAUGCAAUAUCUCAAUGGUAGAGCCAAAACAAAUUCCUUUCUUUUAACUUGCUUUUUCCCUCUACCAGAAACCCUAAGACCUUAAAUUCUUUAAAGUAUUCCACAUUUUAGAAAUUUCUAGGAAAAGGUACAGAAGAGUGCAAGGAUGAGAAGUACGAUGAGAAUAUGAUGGAUGUCCCACACCCCAAGGGAAAAAACACCUAAGAUAUCCUAAUCAGCGAUGCAACAAAGGCAGUUGCUCCUCCAACCUUACAGGGUUGCAAACAGUUUUCCAUGGCUGCCAUGAUUACAGCCGAGCUGUGGUACUGCACUCCGUUGCUUGCAGCACUUUCCGCUAGAGUGUAAUAGAAUACUGGAACACUAUUGUAUUUUUAAAGGCAA